rnacentral:rRNA from 1 species
AUUGAACGCUGGCGGCAGGCCUAACACAUGCAAGUCGAGCGGAUGAAGGGAGCUUGCUCCUGGAUUCAGCGGCGGACGUGUGAGUAAUGCCUAGGAAUCUGCCUGGUAGUGGGGGAUAACGUCCGGAAACGGGCGCUAAUACCGCAUACGUCCUGAGGGAGAAAGUGGGGGAUCUUCGGACCUCACGCUAUCAGAUGAGCCUAGGUCCGAUUAGCUAGUUGGUGGGGUAAAGGCCUACCAAGGCGACGAUCCGUAACUGGUCUGAGAGGAUGAUCAGUCACACUGGAACUGAGACACGGUCCAGACUCCUACGGGAGGCAGCAGUGGGGAAUAUUGGACAAUGGGCGAAAGCCUGAUCCAGCCAUGCCGCGUGUGUGAAGAAGGUCUUCGGAUUGUAAAGCACUUUAAGUUGGGAGGAAGGGCAGUAAGUUAAUACCUUGCUGUUUUGACGUUACCAACAGAAUAAGCACCGGCUAACUUCGUG